rnacentral:misc_RNA from 1 species
GUGAAGUUUAAAUAUGGGGCCUGGUAUCUAGACCCCAAGUCAUGGAAUAAGAGAAAAGAUGACGAACCCCUGGAGAAUCCAAAAGACAUCAAAGAUAAAGAAAUGUCAGAGGCCAAGAAGAAGAGUAAAGAGCUGAACCAUGUGAUUGCUCAGUCUCAGGGAGCGAAGCUGUUCAUGGAUUGGGUCAAUGAUCCAAAGCGACCCCUGGAUCCUAAGAGCGACCACAACAAACCAGAGUUUCUGGACGAGGUUGCUAAGAUUCAGGAACAAGCUAUUAUAGAAGAGCAGAAGAGACUGAAGGCUGAACAGGAUGCCAAGCAAAGGAAACUGUACACAAGGAAAAGGACCGAAACUGAGCAGUCAGCAGGCUGAGUGUGACCUGGGGCCAUAGGUCAAGGUCAUAACAGCAUCUCAAAAUUUUUAUAAAAAUAACUGUGAUAUAAAGGAUGACUUAACACAUAUUAAUUUGUGUUGUUAUGCACAUCAAGUGAUUUCCAUUUCAUUUAAGAUAUCAACAGCUACUGUGUUAUAGAACAUUGUGUUUGUUGAUGUAAAUGUCUAUUUGUUGAUGCAUAAAUAAACUCACUUAAUGAU